UGGGAUUUGUGGCUCAGUGGUGGAGCAUCUGCUUUGCAUGCAGAAGGUUGCAGGUUCUAUCCCCAGCAUCUCUAG